AUGGGCCCUGGUGACUUGUUAGGGCAAAGCCCAACGGUGGGGGGUGUAUGUGGAUUAGUGGAGGCUCCAAGAGGGAAAUGAACGGGCCUAGAGGCCCACAUUCCAUGCGUGAUACUCUGGAGAGGGGUAACGAUACCAAGUAUCCUUACACACAUAAGGUUCAGCACACCGACGGCGGAAUCGACGACGAACGACGGUGGAAACGGCGGAGCAAGGACGACACAGCGAAUCCUAAACCUCAGUGCUGAAACAACGGCGAUAUCUCCGUCUCUGGACGCGCAAAGCUUGACCUUCUCCAAAUCGUGGCGCAUCAAGCGAAGCAACACCAAUUCGCAACUCAAAACCAUCGUCGAACCUACCUUCUUGCUUCACCAGUUCAGGCAGUAAAGUCUAAAUGUGGAGGUUGAAUCGGAAAACUCACAAAACAGGUAUCGCAUAUUUCCGCUCUGAUUUUCGCUCGAUCCUUCUUCUUGAGCUCUUUUGAGAGGGCUUUGCAUCGUUGUUGUUCGAUGCGUUCUUUUGGUAUUGAAUCAAGAUGAAGCACGUCACGUCGAGCUGCCGAAUCGUGAUGAUUGACGAAUCAAGAUGGCAAUGACGAGUUUGAUUUCGUGGAGGAUCGCUUCUGCUUUUUCGGUUUCGAUCUUCUCUCCUCCCGUCGAGGUUCUGUCUGAAUUUUGUGAAGUUGCUUAGAUUUUCGCAGGCUAUGGAGGAUGGCGAAUUGAAGACGUUGAUGAGAGAGUGGCAGGUUGUGGCUUUACCCCAGUUUCGGUUUCUGUUAUGAAAAGUUUGUUAAAGGAUGUUGAAGGUGGCUGAAGAAUUGAGGUUGAAGGAAUGGAAGAGAGGAAGAAUCUGGAAGAGAGCCCCCGAGAGAGGGAAGAAUUCAUGAAUUAUAUAGGGCUGAGUUUGAUUAGAAGAAGUUAGGAAGUUUGUUAGAUUUGUUAUUGGAUUGUGAAAUUAUGCAGGUUUUGGUGUUGGCUCGCGUUUGGAGCGCCUUUGGCUACUGCAUUCUCUUGCUGCAUUUUACUUUGCAGGUAGGUUGCUGGCUCAGCUGGUGUGUUUUGCAGCUUGUAGUACUUGGCUGCACUUUUGGUUAUAGUUUGCUCUUUGCUGCAGCUUGAUGUCGUUUAGAUAUCUGUUGUUGGUAGCUUGUAAUUCCUCACGUGUACCAUCAACCUUGCACUUUAUUAUAUUUUUGUCUUAUUUAAACCAUGGAUGUAAUGGAUAUAUAAAAAAUGGAAUUAAUAUUUGGAUA